rnacentral:rRNA from 1 species
UUCGUGUUAGUCAGUGCACUUUCUGUUUCGGACUCGGGUGGGAUAGCUUCGGCUGUACUGCUCUGUUACUUUGAGCAAAUUGGAGUGCUCCAACAGCUAUAGCUUAAACAGCUCAGCAUGCAAUAACAAUAUAGGACUGUGAUCCUCCUUGUUGUGACGUGGAACACAAGUAAUGUGAUAGGACAUACGGGGGCAUCUGUACUUGCUGGAGAGAGGUGAAAUUCUAAGACCCAGCAAAGACAACAAGUGCGAAAGCAUUUGCCCAGUGUGUGCCUGUUAAUCAAGGACGAAAGUUGGGGGAUCGAAGACGCUUAGAUACCGUCGUAGUCCCAACUAUAAACUAUGCCGACUGAGGAUCGGAGGCUGUACAAAUACAACUCCUUCGGCACUCCAAGAGAAAUCUAAGUCUCUGGGCCCUGGGGGGAGUAUGGUCGCAAGGCUGAAACUUAAAGGAAUUGACGGAAGGGCACCACCAGGAGUGGAGCCUGCGGCUUAAUUUGACUCAACGCGGGGAACCUCACCAGGCCCGGACAUAGUCAUGAUUGACAGAUUGAGAGUUCUUUCUCGAUUCUAUGGGUGGUGGUGCAUGGCCGUUCUUAGUCGGUGAGGUGACUUGUCUGGUUAAUUCCGAUAACGGACGAGACCUCGACCUACUAACUAGCCAACAGUUACUCUUGUAAUUGCUUGGCUUCUUAGAGGGACUUUGUG